UGUCUAGCUUGCUAGAUGAUGUCGAGUGGCGGACGGGUGAGUAAUACUUAGGAACAUGCCUUUGGGUGGGGGAUAACUAUUGGAAACGAUAGCUAAUACCGCAUAAUGUCUACGGACCAAAGGGGGCUUCGGCUCCCGCCCAGAGAGUGGCCUAAGCGAGAUUAGCUUGUUGGUGAGGUAAAGGCUCACCAAGGCGACGAUCUCUAGCUGUUCUGAGAGGAAGAUCAGCCACACUGGAACUGAGACACGGUCCAGACUCCUACGGGAGGCAGCAGUGGGGAAUAUUGCACAAUGGAGGAAACUCUGACGCAGCCAUGCCGCGUGAGUGAAGAAGGCCUUAGGGUUGUAAAGCUCUUUCAGACGUGAUGAUGAUGACAGUAGCGUCAAAAGAAGUUCCGGCUAACUUCGUGCCAGCAGCCGCGGUAAUACGAAGGGAACUAGCGUUGUUCGGAUUUACUGGGCGUAAAGAGCAUGUAGGCGGAUUGGACAGUUGAGGGUGAAAUCCCAGAGCUCAACUCUGGAACGGCCUUCAAUACUUCCAGUCUAGAGUCCGUAAGGGGGUGGUGGAAUUCCGAGUGUAGAGGUGAAAUGCGUAGAUAUCAGAAGGA
rnacentral:rRNA from 1 species